UUGAAGGUGGAAUCGCUAGUAAUCGGGGAUCAGCUGGCCCCGGUGAAUACGUUCCCGGGCCUUGUACACACCGCCCGUCACACCACGAAAGUUGGUUGCAACCAAAGUCGGUGACUCAACCCGCAAGGGAGAUAGCCGCCAAAGUUGUGACCAGUAAUUGGGGUGAAGUCGUAACAAGGUAACCAAGGGCGAAUCGCAGUAAAUUAAUAAUAGUCGU
rnacentral:rRNA from 1 species